UACGUAGGGUGCGAGCGUUAAUCGGAAUUACUGGGCGUAAAGGGCUCGUAGGUGGCCAACUAAGUCAGACGUGAAAUCCCUCGGCUUAACCGGGGAACUGCGUCUGAUACUGGAUGGCUUGAGUUCGGGAGAGGGAUGCGGAAUUCCAGGUGUAGCGGUGAAAUGCGUAGAUAUCAAGCGGAACACCAGUGGCGAAGGCGAGUCCCUGGACAACACCUGACACUGAGGCACGAAAGCUAGGGGAGCAAACAGGG
rnacentral:rRNA from 1 species